AAGUCGUAACAAGGUUUCCGUAGGUGAACCUGCGGAAGGAUCAUUAAUGAAAAUGCAAAGGAGUCUGAUGCUGGCGCUUUGGCGCAUUCGUGCUCGACUCUGAUCCAUUUACACACACCGUGCACACAUCUUUUCACCAACGCAUGAACAGUCACACAUUUUGAUUAAAUCUAAUUACAACUUUCAACAACGGAUCUCUUGGCUCUC
rnacentral:misc_RNA from 1 species